GGAUAUAGCUCAGUGGUAGAGCAUUCAACAGCAGAUCGAGAGGUUCCCGGUUCAAACCCGGAUGGUUCCU